rnacentral:rRNA from 1 species
GAUGAACGCUGGCGGCGUGCCUAAUACAUGCAAGUAGAACGCUGAAGGAGGAGCUUGCUCUUCUGGAUGAGUUGCGAACGGGUGAGUAACGCGUAGGUAACCUGCCUGGUAGCGGGGGAUAACUAUUGGAAACGAUAGCUAAUACCGCAUGACAACAGCUAUUGCAUGAUAACUGUUUAAAAGGGGCAACUGCUCCACUACCAGAUGGGCCUGAGUUGUUUUAGCUUGGUGGUGAGGUAAAGGCUCACCAUGGCGGGGAUACAUAGCCGACCUGAGAGGGGGAGCAGCCACACUGGGAGGGAGACACGGCCCAGAGUCCUACGGGAGGCAGCAGGAGGGCAUCGGCAGCAAUGGGCGGAAAACUUACCGAGCUAGGCCGCGGGAGGGAAGAAGGUUGUCGGGUCGGAGAGCUCGGUUUUAAGGUAAGAACGAGCGUGAGAGUGUGAAGAUCACUCUGUGACGGUAACGUAUCAGAAAGCGACGGCUAACUACGUG